CAAGCCUGAACCCAGCCAUGCCGCGUGCAGGAAGACGGCCCUCCCGGGUUGUAAACUGCUUUUAUACCGGAAUAAACCUUCCUACGUGUAGGGAGCUGAAUGUACGGUAGGAAUAAGGAUCGGCUAACUCCGUGCCAGCAGCCGCGGUAAUACGGAGGAUCCGAGCGUUAUCCGGAUUUAUUGGGUUUAAAGGGUGCGUAGGCGGCCUGUUAAGUCAGGGGUGAAAGACGGUGGCUCAACCAUCGCAGUGCCCUUGAUACUGACGGGCUUGAAUUAACUAGAGGCAGGCGGAAUGUGACAAGUAGCGGUGAAAUGCAUAGAUAUGUCACAGAACACCGAUUGCGAAGGCAGCUUGCUAUGGUUUUAUUGACGCUGAGGCACGAAAGCGUGGGGAUCAAACAGGAUUAGAUACCCUGGUAGUCCACGCCCUAAACGAUGAACACUCGCUGUUGGCGAUAUACGGUCAGCGGCUAAGCGAAAGCGUUAAGUGUUCCACCUGGGGAGUACGCCCGCAAGGGUGAAACUCAAAGGAAUUGACGGGGGCCCGCACAAGCGGAGGAGCAUGUGGUUUAAUUCGAUGAUACGCGAGGAACCUUACCCGGGCUUGAAAGUUAGUGAAUAACCUAGAGAUAGGUUAGUGAGCAAUCACACGAAACUAGGUGCUGCAUGGCUGUCGUCAGCUCGUGCCGUGAGGUGUUGGGUUAAGUCCCGCAACGAGCGCAACCCCUAUGUCUAGUUGCCAGCAUGUAAUGGUGGGGACUCUAGACAGACUGCCUGUGCAAACAGAGAGGAAGGAGGGGACGACGUCAAGUCAUCAUGGCCCUUACGUCCGGGGCUACACACGUGCUACAAUGGUCGGUACAGAGGGCAGCUAUUCAGCAAUGGAAUGCCAAUCUCAAAAAGCCGAUCACAGUUCGGAUAGAGGUCUGCAACUCGACCUCUUGAAGUUGGAUUCGCUAGUAAUCGCGUAUCAGCAAUGACGCGGUGAAUACGUUCCCGGGCCUUGUACACACCGCCC
rnacentral:rRNA from 1 species